GGAAGAAAUCCAUCCAAGCUGAAGUUGUUCAUCGUGGUGUGAUGUGGAACUCUAACUCUGCAGUUGAUAUGGAGCAUGUGGGAUCAUCUAUCGCUAAUCACCAAGUGAAUUCGGAGGUCUUUAACUUGCAGAGUUCUGCAUGUGUACCCAACUCAAGUACCAUUAGGGGUGAGGAAACCAGUCAACUUCAAAAUAAUUAUCAUUCUGAUUAUCGGAAGAACACUGAUCCCU
rnacentral:misc_RNA from 1 species